UGGUUUUCUCAACUGCAGACUCUCCUUAUGCUUUUGGCACCAAUUCAUGAAAACAGCUUUGUUUGGGAUAACAGGAACCAAUGUCAAGCUCAACCAAAUUUGAGCCAAUUUCAAAUUCCACUGGGUAAAGGGACUUUGUUGAGCACAGAGAGGGACACCAUGAACUGGAUGUUUUGCCAAAUGUCAAAAAGGAAAUGUUUAAAACUUUCUUAAUUUUUUUAAAGGGAUUUAAUUGAUUCAAUGUUUUAUCAGAACCUUUUAAUGAGAUUUAACCCUAAAAAUCCAAGCCUGAGAAUUUUUCUUUUUGCAUUACAGAGGGAUGUAACUCAGACUUAUAAUGGGACUGUAACAUUAACUAUAAUGAAACCAUCACCUUAAUUUAGUCAAUACCAACCACCUGCAGAUCCAGAAUUGAAACUCUGGUCCCAUAGUUUCAAACUCAAAGCCUUCACCAUUUGAACUCAGAGAUAACUACUGUUACCUAUCACUUACAUAAGGAUCCUUAGGUUACUCCUAAAUUGCAAUUCGUUAGUGCUCAAAUAUACAAAGCUCAUUCCAACUCCCACUGAUCUCAUGAAAGACAUUUUUAUGCAGCUCUGCCACCUCAGUCAGGUUCCUAGACAGCUUAGCUCCUAGAAGAGAUAUGUUUUAAGGAGCUUCCCCUACUGCAGCCAAUAUGGAAUGCAAAGUAAAGCAAGUUUCCAUUGCAUAGAUUGAGGAGACAGAGGUAGGUUUUGUGUAGAGAGGAUUUAAUCUCUGCAAUACAGAAAGUCUGGAGGAACAUGCAUAAAAGUUCAGUGAAAGAAAAGUAUGUAAGUGCAGGAGGCCAGGAGAAAGUAACAAGGAGUUGGGAAAUGGACUCUGGAAGAUGUAUCAACAAAAAACAAAAAGUUGUUUUGGAGACCUGAAUGAAAUGGAAAGGUCAAAAAAGAGGGCAGAGUCUUUUUAUGAAGAACCCCUACAAAUACCUUUUUGGUGAGAGAGAUCCUAGAGUACUUCAAUGAAACCUGUGGUUACUGUUAUUAGUAUUUAUUUCAAGUGUUCUGCUCUGAAAAUAAAUAGAUUUCACUGAACCAAUUACCCUA